rnacentral:rRNA from 1 species
GGAGUAUUGCGCAAUGGGCGAAAGCCUGACGCAGCAACGCCGCGUGGGGGAUGAAGGCCUUCGGGUUGUAAACUCCUGUCGGGUGGGGCGAACGAGCGCCGGUUAAGCGCUGGCGCUUCUGACGGUACCACCAGAGGAAGCCCCGGCUAACUCCGUGCCAGCAGCCGCGGUAAUACGGAGGGGGCAAGCGUUAUUCGGAAUUCUUGGGCGUAAAGGGCGCGUAGGCGGCAUGAUAAGUCGAAGGUGAAAUCCCCCGGCUCAACCGGGGAACUGCCUUCGAAACUAUCUCGCUAGAGUCCGGGAGAGGGUAGCGGAAUUCCCAGUGUAGCGGUGAAAUGCGUAGAUAUUGGGAGGAACACCAGUGGCGAAGGCGGCUACCUGGACCGGUUCUGACGCUGAGGCGCGAAAGCGUGGGGAGCAAAC